rnacentral:lncRNA from 1 species
CUGUGAUUGGGUGGAAGCAUGGAAACAGCUAUGGAAGGGAGUCUGGAGCAUCUUGGGCAGCAAACAGAGCAGCAGAGCUGCAGAAGGCAGGCUGUAUGUACAGAGAGAAGCACUGGAGAAGCUCAAAAAGGAUCCAGUCCUCUACAGAUCCACUGAAGUAUUUAAUAACUGAACACCCUCAUGGGUAUUAGCAGAAGAUUCUGGAAUUCCAGAAGGUUCUGGAAACCCACAGCUUUUCCUCCAAAUCAGAGGGCAAGACCUGGGUGCCUGUAAGAGAAGACUUCUCUCACCACCUGACUGGACAUCAAUUUCUCCAUUUGUCAUGGUCUCCCUCUUGGGUUGCUAGCUCUGGGAGAAGCUAACUGUCAUGUGUAAGGCCACUCAAGCAGCCUGUGAAGAAGCCCACAUGGAGAUGAGCUAAUUUUGUCCACUGCACCAUCACUGACCUGCUUGUCCUGUGAGUGCACCAUCUUGGAAGCAGAUCCUCCAGUUCCAGGCAAGCUUUGGGACAACUGCAGCUUCAGCUAACAUCUUGACUGCAGCCUCACAACGAACCCCAAGCUAGAAGUUCCCAGCCAAGCCGCUUGCAAAUUUGGAUCCACAGAAUCUAUGAAGUAAUAAAUGUUUAUUGUUUUAAGCCAC